UUAUUAACACUUAUAUUGUCUUAUUAAACAUUUAAUAAUGUUAAUAAGCAUCUCAUAAGGAGUUAUAAGCGCCUUAUUACAUAUUAACUAACGCUUAUUACAAGGACCUUAAAAUAAAGCGCUUCCCAUGUUCCUAGCAUUGACAUUAUCUCUGUGCUCUGCCUUAUGCCAUUUCUCCCUCUGUUUUAAGGACUCACCAGCCACAGCUCCUGUCUCUUCUCCACCUGAUUCGAAGUCUGCCAUUGCUGUCUCUCCAUGCUCGCUGACAUUAAAUUUCAGUAUAGUAGCUCUAUAGUAGCGUUAGCUAGGAUGAGGGCAGCAGGUGGACCCCCCUAUUUUAGGACGGCCUACAAUGGAGAAAUAAGGCACCUCCAUCCCUCUGCUAGCCUGGGAGUCCACCUUAGGCAAGCGGUAGCACUCCCUUUGCCUCCUAGUUAUGGGUCAAAUAGCAACUGGGCAGCUCUGAGUGCUAGUAGGCCUACUGUAGGCUACAGUAACACUGAGUGUUAGCACAGUAACUGCGUAAUCAAUUUCCCCUCCUUGUGAUUGUCUUCAUAAACAAAAUUGGUGCAUAUUUAAAGCCCCUACAAGGAACUUUAAUUUUGAGUUGAUUUUGGCGACCCUGUAGACAAAAGCGGUAGUGUUUUGCCGGAAUGAAGCCUACAUUUCCCAUGAGCUCUAGCGCGUUUUGUCGUAAAGACGCUUACCUGGCUCGCGCAUGUGUUUGUUUUGGGGAUGAAUGAAACAACAAGACGGGAAAACUUUGCCCCCGCUCCUAUCGGGGAUCCCAGCUCACCUCUGCCGCGCCCCAGCUCCACCACUCCAGCGUAAGCGCCACCACCGCCGGGGUAAACGCAGCGGUCGGCUGGUAAGGCUGAAGGCCUGUUUGGCGAGCACUUCCACGGCUUCUUGGACUGAAUAUGGAGCGAUGCCUCGCCUCUUUAUUUCUUGGCACUCGCUGGACCCUGUCGACGCCUGGCUGGUACCUGUCGUCGGCCCGGAUGAGGUGUUCCAGCCCCGCGGCCCCUGCUCUCCUCGUCCCUGCCUGCGCGGGGUGAAUCUGCGCAACCUGCGGCCUCUGUGUGUGGCUCCCCGGACAGCUAACGCCGUGGACCCGCCGGCUCCUGCCAGGAUUGGGCUGGUAAAUGCUAGAUCGCUAGCGAACAAAACGUUUAUCCUGAGGGAUUUCCUGACUUCCCGAGGAUUGGAUUUUCUCUGUGUGACUGAGACGUGGCUGACUGUUGGUGAGUCCAGUGCUUUCACAGAACUUUCACCCGCUGAUUGCUGCUAUUUUAACUCCCCGCGGACGUCGGGACGAGGAGGAGGAAUAGCGAGUGCCAUAAAUUGUUUCGUCCUGGAAGCGACCUGGGGCGGACCCAGAGACAAUUUCCUAAAGAUGGAAAUACUUCUGAAUCAGAUCCUCUUCUGUGGGGCUGUCCGAUGCUGACCCUGAUAAACAAAGGGAGAAAAAGAUAAAGAGACAACGUUUUUCAGCAAGAACAGGCUGCAGCACAUUAUCCAGUCUGCAGAGAAUACCUUCAGCUGCAAUCUGCCAUCUCUUGUGGACCUGUACACAUUGGGCCUCAUUCUGCAAACAAAUUUAGAACUUCCUCAGACACAAAUGCAUGUAUGCACAAAUUAUGACAGCCUGGCUGUCUUACAAAAUAUUGAAACUUGCCUUUUAUCUAAAUGUAAAGCAUAUCAAAACCACAUUCAUUAAAAAAAACUUUAAUAGAAGCCUUGGAAGUGUUUUUAUGGUGGAUUUAUUUGAUUUGAUUUUCCUUGUUUUUAGGAUUUUAAUAUAAAUGUCAUGAUAAUCUGUUUCCUAUGUUAGGCUCUUUUGUUUAAUUUUUAUGAAUGUAUUGUGUUAGAUUAUUUAUCAUUAUCAUUGCUAUUAUUUAUUAUUAUCAUCAUAAUCAUCAUUGGGUGAUAGUCCUUGCUGGAUGUACUCACUUUCACCUUCAUUUUUUUAUCCCACUUGUGCAUAUUGACUAUUAUUGCGGUGAGCCUCUGAUCUUGGAUUAUUGCAGCCCAUGGAGUUUUUAUUAUGAGUAGCAAAACUGUCUUUUCUGUCCUCCUCCUCAGACUCGGGCAGUGCAGCGUUGUGUCCACGGUACAGACUGAAUGGGAGGAGGCAGCGCUGAUAGACAGCAGGCAAAUCAGAGAAAACAUUAUUUCAUGAUUGUUUCACAGCGGUUCAGCUCUAAACACUAAUAGAUAAUAUUUAAUUUUAUAUCCCAAAAACUAAUAUCAAAUUAUUUAUAAUAUGAGCUGUUAAAAGUCUGUAAUGAAUAAGUCUACAGUAUAAUCAUGACCUCUGUAUUAUACAUUAAAAAAUGUUCAGAAAAGUAGGCCUCCGAACUGAAACCUGGGGUGUCCCGGAAAAUGAUGUUAGUUACAGUAAUGUUAGCUAACAUUACUACUACGGAUACACUACUCGUGUAGAACUCAAAGUCUCUAGCACGCUAACGUCAGCUGUGUAAAUCAGCUUCACUUUAAUUAUACAGUAAAAGAUGAGGGCCACGUGAAAAACAAGAAAAGAAAGAAAAAUAAAAAAGAAUACGUACCUUUCUGUGUUGCCUGUCCCGGCUCCAACUUUCCUCCAAACAUAACUUUCUUCUUCUCGCUCACUCGUCUGCUCCAUAUGUUGAUACGUCUGUUGUCUGUCUCUCGGGUGGAAGCUCAGCACUGUCCCUACAGGCCUGGAGCACUUCCGUUGUAUGACUGGCUAUGCAGUGUUUUCUUUUUGCAUUUGUUUUCUUAUUUGCAGCGCGUUUCUGUAUAUGCAGCACGUUUCUGUAUUUGCAGCAUUUUCCCUUUGCAUUUGUUUUCUUAUAUGCAGUGCGUUCUCUAUUUGCAGUGCGUUUCUGUAUUUGCAUCGCGUUUGUCCUUGUCGGCCACCGUACAUUACGCCCACAAGCUAUCCUGGCGUGUGCAGCACGUAUGGUCAGGUGACCACCCGGCGUGAAGCAGUGACAAUGAUACUGGAUUACUACAAGAUGGUCCACCUACAAUAUACUCCCAUUGUAUGAAAUGGUAUACAUUUCCAGUCUCCUAAGUAGGUGUUGUCCUCCGUACCCCAAUCAAAGACGAUGGAGAACCGCCAAUCAAAGACGAGUAUACCCAACCUCGCUUCUGUCAACAUGUGUGUACCCUUACUGGCCGUAAGCUAAAUAAAUAAAGGGUCCGUGAAAAAAAUAUUUUUUCCAGCAGAUGUCUUAGUUACAACAUGAUUGAGCUAACUGGAGUAAUGCCGUAUCCAACAACGGGAGGCUUUUAACAGAUGACGUCCUGAUGUUGGCUUUGCUGCUGCUGUUAGCUGUCCCUGUCAGCUGCAGCUACUGAUGCUUUCUAGACAUCGUGAUUUCCCAAAACUGAAUAAAUACCACACAUUGCAACACAAAGCUGCUUUGCUAGCUCAAUCAUGUUGUAACUAAGAUAUGCGCUGGAAAAAAAUAUUUUUUUAAUCCAGGAUCUUGAAACUGCACUGGUUUCAGCGCCAGAGAGGAGAUAUCUGUUGCCAGAUCUCGCGAGAGUGUGCUGUUGAGACAAAGACAGGUCUUGAACAAAGUAAAUUUUCUCCUGAUUUGUCCAUCUGAAAUUUGCCAUUUUGGUGUCGGAAUGUUCUGAAGAUAUGUGGCUUGUGAUAAAUGGGUCCAAUAUUUGCUUCCGUGACUAUGGGGCGAAAGAAUCGGCCAUAAUCUGUAAUCACGUUCAUUUCUCCCACUGAAGUCAAUGGACUCAGUACCUGCUGUUAGUCUCCUAAAGGGGCGUGGUGGUCGCGAACCCCACGUGACACUGAUACAGGAAACUGAUUCGCAGUGGACCGUCUUGGUUUAUCCACCGUCUUUGGCAGUGACCAACAUAGAUGCUGAAGAAGAGCAUGAGCACGACCAUGAGCAGGCUGAGUUGGUGGCGAAAAAAACACAACGUCUAUUAUAUGGCGAUACUUUGGAUUCAGGUACGGCGAUGUUGAACAGAAAGACGUGCUGUGUAAAAGUUUAAAAGUUAAAGCUAUAGUGUGUAACUUCUACAUGUCCGUAAAUGUCUGUUUCACCCAAGCCACUACUAGAGGAGAUGACACAAUGCUGCUGCGCUGGCUCACAGGAAAUGCCGUGUUUUACCUCACAACAAGAAGGGAGGGGGAGGAAGAGCGGAGAGUCUCAUAGCAAGAGGUAGAGCGCAGGUAGAAAGAGAAAGCAACAUGGUGGAGAACCCAAAGAAGCGGCCGAGACACGGUUCAGAAGUGGAUCCUACCACAAAGAAAAAGCCUGGACGUUCGGCUGAGGGAAAGUGACUGCUGUGUGAGCAGCGUGUUUGACUGUGCUCUGUUGAUGGUCAAUUACACUGUCCAUAACAAUACUUAUGUCAUGUCAGGUCAGUGCCCCCCUAAUAUAAUGUAGGGAAAACACUGAACUUUUUAUUAUACUGUAAUCGCAAUCGCAAAUCGCAAUAUUGUCCACUCAAAUCGCAAUCGCACAUUUUUAUCAAAUUGUGCAGCACUACUAGAGAGGAUGGAGGAUACUCUGAAUCACUCUAGUCCAGAGGCUUUUCAGAACAAUGAAGAAAAGACAAAAUUUUACACAGCAUUACCCACUUUCUUAGUUAUGAUGCAAGUGUUUAGACUGUGAGCCAUACAUCACCUCUAAUGGUUUGUCUGCACUCUCUAAAUUUGAACAGCUCAUUUUGGUCUUAAUUCAGUUGAGACUAAAUCUUCCACUCCAAGAUUUGGCUUUCAGGUUCAAGAUUUCCUGUUCCACUGCUUCUCGGAUUUGGCACAAGAUAAUUGCCACACUACAUCAAAGACUAGAGUUCAUAAUAAGAGUGGCUGGAGCGAGAGGUACUGCAAGCUACCAUGCCAAUGUCCUUUAGGCAAGCAUUUGGAUGCAAGGUUGCAGUAAUUGUGGACUGUUUUGAAGUUUUCAUUGGAAUUCAAAUUUGCUGGCAAGAGCACAAACCUGGUCCAAUUAUAAACACCACAACUAGGGAUGUCAUGAUUACUUGAUUUCACUAUUAACCGCGAUUUUAAACGCCACGGUUAAUUAUUCGUAAAGAUUUCUCAACACCGUCACUCUCCAAAGAUUAUGCCGGGAGGGAACCAUAUACAGUAGGCAGAUCAGCCCAACUCUCACGGAAUGAAAACAAAGUUACACAAGCGGUACAGGUGAAUAGGCGUCUCCGAGUGAGGAAGUAUGGAUUAUUUAUGUUUCAAAGGGCAUCUAUAAGUCAAAAGCUAGCUAGAUGUUUUUUUUUUUCCUGUUUAAAAAUUCUCUUCUCAGGUCCAAAAGAAAUGUUCAGAAACAUUUUUGUAAUAUAGUUUACAGAAAGUCUGUAAAGAAAUACAUGUAGCUUUUGAAACCUUUUUUCCCAAAAGGGAAAUCCUGCUGUGGAUGUUUAACACAGAGGUGAUUUUUGUUUAAUUCCAAUGGGAUUAUUGUCAUUAAAUCUUGUACUUUUUGGUUACUUUUCUUUGUUGCUAUAUUAUUUUUGUUAUGUUGGCAUGGCAAUAAAUGAAACUUAAAGAUCUAUAAGGAGUGUUCAUGUGAUUUUACACAUUUAUAGUGUGAAAUUAAUUAAUGCAUAAUAAUCGUGAUAAUCGUAAAACCAUGAUUAUUUCUCUGACAAUAAUCGUACCAAGAAAAUCUAUAAUCGUGACAUCCCUAACCACAACACAGUUAAAUUUCUCAUUGGUAUUGCUCCUCAAGGAUAUGUCACAUACAUCUCUCGUGCUUGGGGAGGGAGAGUGAGUGACAAGCUGAUAACUGAAGAGAGUGGUAUUCUGGAGAAUUUGUUGCUGGGGGACAUUGUUCUGGCAGACCGUGGCUUUAACAUAGGUGAAAGUGUCGGAUUUUUCUGUGCUUCAUUGAAGAUGCCUGUUUUCACAAAAGGGAAGAAUCAGCUAUCUGCAUAUGAGGUUGAACAAACAAGAAAACUUGCUAAUGUCCGUAUUCAUGUGGAAAGGGUCAUUGGAUUAGUGAGAAGAAAAUACCUAAUUCUGCAUAGGGCAAUGCCCACUGAACACAUAGCAGUAAAAGCAGGAAAUUCACUGGCACUGAUUGAUAAGAUAGGCGUUAUUUGCUGUGCAUUAACCAAUCUUUCAGACUCUGUUGUUCCACUGGAGUGAGCAACUAAUUCAGUUACUACUCACCCCCAUGCCGAUAGAAGGUCUGAUAUAGUUUUUUGUUGUCUUGUUCAGGCACAGUUUGGAGAAGAGGCAGCUAACACAGUUGAAUGACUCUAGCCAAAACAAUAUAAACAAUAUAUGUUGGCAACUUUUUAAUUGCCUUUUAUAUACUGUACAUGUACAUGUGUUAUAUUUAUCUCUUAACAUAAAUACAUAUUGUCAUUAAACAUAUUAUUAUUAAGAUAUUUCAUACUUUCUUUUAAUGUUUUGUCCUUCCUCCCUCU